rnacentral:rRNA from 1 species
AAAUCAGUUAUGGUUCAUUAGAUCGUGGACACAUUUACUUGGAUAACUGUGGUAAUUCUAGAGCUAAUACAUGCAAACAGAAUUCCUCUCAGAGAUGGGAGGAAUGCUUUUAUUAGAUCAAAACCAAUCGGUGGCGGACGGCUCGUCCGUUCGUCCAUCGUUUGUUUUGGUGACUCUGAAUAACUUUGUGCUGAUCGCAUGGUCAUCUAGCACCGGCGACGCAUCUUUCAAAUGUCUGCCUUAUCAACUGUCGAUGGUAGGUUCUGCGCCUACCAUGGUUGUAACGGGUAACGGGGAAUCAGGGUUCGAUUCCGGAGAGGGAGCCUGAGAAACAGCUACCACAUCCAAGGAAGGCAGCAGGCGCGCAAAUUACCCACUCCCGGCACGGGGAGGUAGUGACGAAAAAUAACGAUACGGGACUCAUCCGAGGCCCCGUAAUCGGAAUGAGUACACUUUAAAUCCUUUAACGAGGACCAAUUGGAGGGCAAGUCUGGUGCCAGCAGCCGCGGUAAUUCCAGCUCCAAUAGCGUAUAUUAAAGUUGUUGCGGUUAAAAAGCUCGUAGUUGAAUCUGUGUGUCACAGUGUCGGUUCACCGCUCGCG